GCAAUAAUAGUUUAAAUAGAACAUUGGUCUUGUAAAUCAAAAGUGAAUAUCUAUUCUUUCUUAUUGCU
rnacentral:tRNA from 1 species